UGUUGUGCUUCGGGAUUGCUUCUGUGUGCGGCUCCCACCCCAAAAUGACAGCUUUCCCUUUUAUUUUAUUUCCCCCAGUUUAAAUUAGUCUCAAGGUGUUUGUACUUGUUCCGGGUUUGGUUAUGGAAAAACGUUCGGACUAGCUGAAUUCUGUCGAGAUGGAAAAAUCUUGAUUCCUUCUGUUCCCCAUCCUUUGCGCAGGGGUUUUGAAGAUGGUCUCUAGGAUGCUCAGGAUGCUUGGAGGCUGCCCGGCAUCCCGGGAUGGAGCUGGAGCUUACGCUGUGCCUUCCUAGACAGCUUUUGGCUUUGCUGGUCCCGAACUAUGAGGGGAAUACAAAUCAUAGAAUCAUAGAAUAGUUUGGGUUAGAAGGGACCUUAAAGAUCAUCCUGUUAAUCCUCCCGAUUACACGGCAGAAGCGACGAAACUCUGUCAGAUGAAAUGUUUAGCGUCGUUCUCUGACAUAAUUUGUUUGACAGGUUUGUCCUGCUUCCCUCUUAAUUCUGAGGAAAAAGCGGUCCCUGCAGGAGUUAGAAUUUUUUGCAGGUGAGGUGGUAAUGGCUCCAUGACUGCCAGAGCUGUGAGCGGUGAGGAUUUGGAAGGACAGAUUGCCCAAAGAGCUCUGUUCUGCCAUUUCCAGGAACACAAAUACAUUAUUGCUUGUACAGCUUCAGUUAGGGAUGGGGCUGUCUGCUGUUUGGUGGUAAAGAGGAAGUGCUGAAAAGAAAAAUUACCAUAAAAUUGUUAGAAAACAGGAAGGGAAAACUUAUUAACAUGGAAUCAUUGAUGCCUGUAGCCACUUUUGGCCAGCACUCAGGAAAGCCCUGUAGGAAUUCUGUCUCCAAGACACUCUGAUGAUCGUGGCACGUCCAGAAGGUCCCCGUGAGAAGGAAGGCUGUCUGGUUGGUGUAUUAGCUGUUGGCCGCACACACCUGGUCAGAAAUCGUCUGGCAUCUGAAACGGCUCGGACUUGCUGGAGGCAAUUUGGUCGACCUGCAGAUGCUGUGAAUCAGGAGCUGACCAAGAAGCGGAAGAGCUCCAGGAUUCCUCCCAGGAAAAGUAGGCUGGGGAGCAUGGCCACUAAGAAACUAAGAAGAGCAAAGUUGUCUCAGGAGCUGUGUGAAAGGCUGAGUCGCCAUCAGAUCACUACCUGUCAGGACUUUUUAUGUCUUUCACUCUUGGAGCUAAUGAAAGUGACCGGACAGAGCUACUAUGAUGUACAGAAGCUUCUUCGUAAAGUCAGCCGAGCUUGUGCUCCCAAAAUGCAGACAGCUUAUGAAAUGAAAAUGAGGAAUUCUGUCAAUCCCUCUUCAGCCUUUCUAUCCACCACGCUGCAUGGUUUAGAUCAAGUCUUGCAAGGUGGAGUGCCUUGUGGAUCCCUCACAGAGAUAACUAGCCCGCCAGGUUGUGGCAAAACUCAAUUUUGUAUGAUGAUGAGUGUUCUGACUACACUGCCAGUAAGCAUGGGAGGACUAGAUGGGGCUGUUAUAUACAUUGACACAGAAUCUGCAUUCAGUGCUGAAAGGUUGGUUGAGAUAGCAGGAAACAGAUUCCCUACUUACUUUGACUCAGAUGAAAAGCUGUUCUGCAUGACUCGUAGCAUUCACCUGUAUCAAGAGCUGACCUGUGGCAGUGUACUGAAAAGGAUUAUGUCUUUGGAAGAAGAAAUUAUUUCAAAGAAAGUUAAACUCAUAAUAAUUGACUCUGUUGCUUCAGUUGUUAGAAAGGAGUUUGACACAAAACUCCAAGGCAACCUGGUAGAGAGAAGUAACUUUUUGGCUAGAGAAGCAUCAGUGUUGAAGUAUUUGGCAGAGGAGUUCUCAAUACCAGUUAUCUUGACGAAUCAAAUUACCACAUCGUUGAGCAAUCGCAUUUCGAUCCAGGCAGACCUGGUGUCUCCAGCUGAUGAUUUGUCCCUGUCUGAAGGAGCUUCUGGAAGUGGGAAAGCUGGUUGUGUGACAGCAGCCCUUGGCAACACGUGGAGUCACAGCGUCAACACCAGGCUCAUACUACAGUAUCAUGACUUUCCGACAAGACAGCUCCUGGUUGCUAAAUCCCCUGUUGCUCCAUUCUCCGCUUUUUUCUACACUAUUGAGAAAUCAGGCUUGGUUCUUCAAGCUCUUUAUCCAGUCAAAGGAGAGAGAGAGAAAGGGAACAACGUGAAAAUACUGCUCGGUAUAGACAUAUUAAGAUGUUUGUAGAAGACCUCCUGGGACUUCUUUUGCCUUUUAUGGCUUGAAAUCUCGGCCCCUUAGUGAACAGCAGUGGAUUUCACAAGUUCAUUGGAUGACUCUGGAGUUCUGCUACUUCACUGGGUGACGUUGCUCAAGUCAAAACCAAGACACUUUAAAAGAGAGAAAGGAGCUGGUGAAGAGUUGCAUAUGGAAAGGAUCAAAUAAAUUUAACCUUGGAAGGAACCAAUCCUGCCCUACAGAACAUACGAGUGAGGAACACUGCCUUGAAAGACACUCUUUGAUGCAGCUUUACCCAGCACUAAUGAUGAGACUCUGAGCAAUACAUCCAAUCUAUAGAAAAGGACAAAUGAAGCCUUCAUUAAGAAAAGAAUGAAUGACAAGUCUGGUUUUCUAAAAUUCAGUGAAGCACAUAGCUUCUCUCUUCUUUUGUCUCUCUAAAGACCAACUUUAAAACUAGGUGCUUUUUUUUGUAUGUGCGGGACCAUACUUAAUUCUGAACUUAUGAAUAUCCUGUAUUUUGUUCAGGUUAAUUUGAGUGACAUAAUAAUAAAAGCUUCUGAACAAUGUACAUGCUGCUGAAGAAGCAUAGACCACACAUGUCUUUCUGAUUCACCCCACCACCUCCCAGGUCUGUAGGAACUGACAAUCAAACACACUUGGUGUCCAGAGUCCAUAACAGACUCAAAUGUUUGCUUCUGCUUUUUCAGAGAAAUUAUAAACCCACUCAUUAUCUUGAUUAAGAAGCGAUAGUUCAGUGAGCUCUUAUUUCUGUAACUCAGUUGAAAUCAUUGGAGAUGAUAUAACAGAGUUGCUAAUAGCUGGGCUCUGACAGUUCAGAAUGGAAGAACAGGUAGCAAUCCCGAAGGUGGGAACCUGGGUGAGUAUUACAGCUGCUUAGCUUCCUCUGUCUUCAAAGCACUUUUAGAGUAUUCACAAUGUGACUGCAAAUCA